UACAGAGGGUGCAAGCGUUAAUCGGAAUUACUGGGCGUAAAGCGUGCGUAGACGGUUAUGUAAGUCAGAUGUGAAAGCCCCGGGCUCAACCUGGGAAUUGCAUUUGAGACUGCAUAGCUAGGGUGCGGAAGAGGGAAGCGGAAGUUUCCGGUGUAGCGGGUGAAAUGCGUAGAUAUCGGAAAGGAACAUCAGUGGCGAAAGCGGCUCCUGGACCAGUACCGACGUCAGGCACGAAAGCGUGGGGAGCAA
rnacentral:rRNA from 1 species